GAGAAUCACUCGAACCCAGGAGGUGGAGGUUGUGGUGAGCUGAGAUUGCGCCACUGCACUCGAGCCUGGGGGACAGAGUGAGACUCUGUCUCAAAAAAUAAAAUAAAAUAAAAUAAAAUAAAAUAAAAUAAAAUAAUGUAGGACAACCAAUAGAGGAACUCAGGCUCACCUUACUUUAUGUUACAUAUGAUAUGGAACAUUUAUUUUUUUGUUUUUAAUUUUUUUUUUUUUAAGAUGGGGUUUUACCAUGUUGGUCAGACUGGUCUUGAACUCCCAACCUCAGAUGAUCCUCCCACCUUGGCCUCCAAAGUGCUUGGAUUACAGGUGUGAGCCACCGCACCUGACCAAUAUAGAACAUUUCAGGGGGACAAACAUUUGUCACUUUGUAUCAUGAUGUCAUAUAUGAUAGCCAAUGAUAACUAAUGAUAACUCAAGAGGGGGAGGCUGCCCUGUUCACACUAUGUCACUUAUGACAUCAAGGAGCCCAGACCUCAGUUGCAUUAUGUCACUAUGGCACAUACAAUGUCAUCCAACAACUGAUAGAAGGGUUGCAGGUCUCAUUCACAGUGCAUGUGAGUCACAAAUGUCACAACAUGAUACAGCAGACUGAGCUGCAUCCUCAGGGGGCUUCCAUCCCCCUUUAGCAAGUGACUGACAUGAGAAACCCUGCCUUCUAGUGCUGCUGUUCUCAUUGUGCUCUGGUUUGAAUGUCUUCCUUCCAAAAUGCAUAGACUUGGAUCGCCAGUGUGAUAGUACUAAGAGGUAGGCCUUGACAAGGUGAUACAGUCUUGAGUAUGGAGACCACAUGGUUGCGAUCAGAGACCUUCUACAAAAGCUGGAGGUAGCGGUGUGCUCUGUCUCUCUCCUUUCCACCAUCUGCCAUGUGAGGACACAGAAAGAAGACAUUUCUCAGAUGCCAGAGCCUUGAUCCUGAACUUUCCAGCCUCAGAAACUGGGAGAAGAUGAAGAUCUGUUCUCUGGAAACCACCCAGUCUGUGGGAUUUUGGUGGAGCUGCACAAAGUGGACUAAAACGUGUCUGUUUCCUACUUGAUUUUACAAAAAGGACACAAAAUGAAUUUGCUUCUCUUCAUAUUGUUCUCUCACUCUCUCUCAUCCUGCAAUAACAGCAAAUAAAGACAAAAAACAC
rnacentral:lncRNA from 13 species